AAAAGAAAAUAAAUAAAUAAAAGUUUUAGCCAAGUGGCUUUUGCCUACGACUGUUGCUCAAGCUGCUUUUAUAAAUUACUUUCUUUGCAUGGUUUCCAUUUAUAUUAGCUGUGCUGCACUGAAACUGACCAUUUGACUCGAUGAAUAUUUCACCUAAUUAAAUAAAUAGGCAUGAUCUCUUUUACUUUCAUGGAGUUGCUGCUACAAGUUAAUUUCACCAUUGAGCAUUUCACUAGCCAUAUAUACCAGUUAUUGAGAAUUCUUAGCAUCCUUGUUCAUCACUGCUAUUGAACUUGCAG
rnacentral:misc_RNA from 1 species